rnacentral:tRNA from 1 species
ACAUUCUGCUUAAAUUAUUUCUU